GCACCAUAACGUGGAUCAAUCUCAGUUCCGUUCGGCUGGGGGUGCACCGGCAAGUGCCAGUGGUGAAGCCGGUGUGAGUUCUUGAGAAAUGGGGAGAAGUCGAAUUUGCUAGACAACAUUCUUCUGUUGCUAAAAGGUUGAACUAGAGAUAUAGAUACAUGAUUGUCUUCACUAUUAUUUGAAAAGCAAGAGCACCAACCGUUGAAGAAGAAGAAGAAAAAGAGGAGAAAAGAGAGGCAAAGAAUGGUAUUAAAGAGAGAAGAAAGUGGGAUUUUCAUGGCUGAAGCUGAUCAGGAGGAAAGAGCAGAGGAUGAAAAGAAAAGAUUGCAUGGAGAGAGAGAGAGAGAGAG
rnacentral:misc_RNA from 1 species